AGAUUGAACGCUGGCGGCAGGCCUAACACAUGCAAGUCGAGCGGUAGAGAGGUGCUUGCAUCUCUUGAGAGCGGCGGACGGGUGAGUAAUGCCUAGGAAUCUGCCUAGUGGUGGGGGAUAACGUUCGGAAACGGACGCUAAUACCGCAUACGUCCUACGGGAGAAAGCGGGGGACCUUCGGGCCUCGCGCCAUUAGAUGAGCCUAGGUCGGAUUAGCUAGUUGGUGAGGUAAUGGCUCACCAAGGCGACGAUCCGUAACUGGUCUGAGAGGAUGAUCAGUCACACUGGAACUGAGACACGGUCCAGACUCCUACGGGAGGCAGCAGUGGGAAUAUUGGACAAUGGGCGAAAGCCUGAUCCAGCCAUGCCGCGUGUGUGAAGAAGGUCUUCGGAUUGUAAAGCACUUUAAGUGGUAGGAAGGUUGUAACUUAAUACGCUGCAACUUUGACGUUACCGACAGAAUAAGCACGCUAACUUCGUGCCAGCAGCCG
rnacentral:rRNA from 1 species